CAGACAUCCUGGCCUCCCGUUGGUCCGGCGCUGGCUGGCACCGCGCACUCGAACCGAGAGCCGUGAAGUGCGGUGGCUCCGGUACAAGUGAUGGAGGCGCCCCCAGGACAGCAGGCUCGUCGGGGCUGCCUUGGCUUCUUCUUGCCGCAUCCAGCCAGGCCCCGGGGACCCCCGAGGCCCUGGACGUGCACUUCCCGGGGCCGGAAGCGGCGACCGGGUUUGCAGGCGUCGGUGGGGGCCUCGGCUCGCAUGAUUUCCCGGCUUCUCAGAAUCUUUGUCGCCACUUGCCACUACACCCACUGAAAAUCUGAGGCACGAGAGAACAUUCCAGCAGGAAAUCCGGGGUCGACCUCAUCUGAGAUGUGAUAUGAGCACAGCUCGUGUUUGCGUGUUCCACGGUGCUCAAGCGUCUCCCCAGAAGGGUUCACCUAUCCUUUAACCACCCUGCAGGGCGCGCUUUGUCCUCCCCGUUUUAGAGACGAGGAAACCGAGGUGCUGACAGGUUUGAGGAACUUGUCCAUUGCACAAAGCCAGGCUUCGCAUCUCAGCGUCUCCGACCGGAACCCUCCCCACCCUCCGGCUGCUUCUGAAUGAGCAGCCACAGGACCCUGCGGUCUGGGGGGAAAGGUUUGGCCAAAUGCCACCAUGCAUUGGUCAGGGAACCGGCUGCACACUUGAUCCCGUGUCCCCGAGGCGCCAGCCGCCGAGCCUAACCUCAGAUGUCCAGUAGAAGACAGCCUGUCACCGGUACCCACCAGAGCCCCUUCCGUGUUUCCAGCCUCCCGUGCUGCACCUGGUUCCCCAGUGCCAAGCUGGCGUGGACCUGGAGGAAGGAGGAGGCAGACCGUGGACCCCAGCUGUGGUGACAGUGCCCUGGCUAUGAAAGGGCCACUUCGUAGCCACGGAGUGCAAAAAAUGGGCUUCCUCAGAUACACUUCUCCGAGGGAACUCCUAAGGAGAUAUUAAAAUUGUCCCAUUUAUAUUCAUUCAUAUCAGAUGAACAUUCGUUUCAGGCCCAACAUGAUAUCUUCGUGGAGCCAAACGAAUCUACUCCUUAAGCCACUUGCAGGAAGCAAGGCACAGCCAUAUUCAGAAAAUAAUGAGAAAGACCAUUAAGUCAAAGGAAGAAGGAAAACAAGUCAAUAAAUCAACUGUGUAUGGCACUACAGAAAAGAUUAAGAACGCCAAGGUGACAUAAGCAUUAAACAUUGUUAUUAAUCUGGGGAAACUUCAUUCCAGUCACAAUGUUCUUUCCUCUACCAGGCAGUGUGCACCUCUACGUGAAUUAGGAAAAGGCAUCCCUUCCUCAAGAUACGUUAUUGCUGUCGGCCGGAAAAAACCUAGGACGACCUCUAUGAGAAUGGUGUCCCUGAAGUUGCUCAGUGCGUGACGUGCGCCACUGUACAGGGUGGCCGGGAAUGCAAAGCACACUUGGAUAUCCUUCAUGGCAGAGGGUCAUACAGGCCACUGAUCAGGCUGAAGCUUCCCAAGCGCCAACUGCAGUUUCCUUUGUGAUCAGGAGCUGAGAUAAAAGACAGGUGUCACAGCUGUCUGAGCAGCCCCUAUAUCUGUAGGGCUCAAAGAAGUAGGGUCUCCUUUGGUGACCUCAGGGGCACUCACAAUACAUAAUCACAGAGGGGCUGUGCAUCCUGGCUUGUAUGCAGCUGCUGCUUGCCAUCAUAUGGCACUUAAUAUUGUAGGUACUGUGAAAAAAA